UCGGAGUGUGGGGGAGUCCGGGCCCUGCACCCCCACUUCCUGUGAUUCACCUUGACUCUCAGCCAGCCAGUAAAGCAGAAGGUUUAUUAGACGAGAGGAACACAGUCCCAAGCAGGGCUUGUAGGUACAACCAGGGCCCCUCAGCCAGGUCCCUCUGGGGGCAGGGUGCUUAGACCCCAGACCUGGGUUCCUGCCUCUUCCCAGCCAGCCCCAAACUGAAACUAAAAAUCUCUCCAGCAGGCUCUCCUCCUUUGUCCAGCUUCCUGGGCAAAGGUGUUGACUCCCCCCACCCCCUUCCUGGCUCAGGUUACAGGCUCAGGUACCCUCCCUCACCUAAAGUCAUCCCCUGCUCUCCCAUCCCCCUUGCAGAUAGUCCCAGUAAAACUAAAGGACGUUCCCAGGUCAAUCUGCCUUGCUCCCUACUGCAUCACAAGGUGCGGGCAGGGGGGGCAAAUGGUGGGGCAGGUACAGGCAGGAUGCUGGCCUGGGGGUGAAUGGCGGGGCAGGUGCGGGCAAGGGGGGCAAAUGGCAGGGCAGGUGCAGGCAGGGGGACGAACGAUGGGGCAAGUGCGGGCAGGGGAGGCGAAUGGUGGGGCAGGUACAGGCAGGAUGCCGGUGGGGGGGACGAAUGGCGGGGCAGGUACAGGCAGGAUGUGGGCAGGGGGAGCGAAUGGCAGAGC